rnacentral:misc_RNA from 1 species
ACACUGCAACUUCAAAAGGAGAAAUAUGAAGGUGAUUGUUGACGUAGACACCGGGAUUGACGACGCCACGGCAUUGAUGCUACUGCUGUCGCGAGCUGAUGUGGAGGUGUUGGCGAUCACGUGUGUACGGGGAAAUAUAGACCUAGACAAAGUGUGCGUCAACACGCUCCGAGUCCUCAAGGAAUGUGGCAAGCAGGAUAUUCCUGUAUACAGAGGUGCAGAUCGCCCCAUCCUUGACAACGAAACGGAUGCGUCUCACUUUCACGGGGUUGACGGAAUGGGUGACGUCACGUGGUCCGAGGAGGUGGAUAUCGCAGACCUACAGUCUGAACAUGCUGUAAUGGCUAUACUAAGACUUAUCAACAAGUAUCGAGGGGAGAUAACUCUAAUUCCCCUGGGGCCUCUGACCAACAUCGCCCUUGCGUUGCGCCUGGAUCCAGACCUUGGACAGAAACUAAAGGAGGUGUUUAUCAUGGGAGGUAAUAUUGAAGGUAAGGGAAGGCUGAGCACCUCAGCUGAGCACAACUUCUACUGUGACUGUGAGGCAGCCUUUAUUUCACUGAGAGAGCUGAAGAAUAUAGCUAUCCUCCCGUAUGAGGUUUGCCUCGAUACAAACAUCCCCUGGCUCGUGGAAACGUCACGGUUUCGUCGGAGUUCAACUUUUAUAUCGACCCUGAAGCCGCAUACAUCUGCCUGAGUUCGCUUAAGGCCCCACUGUCUAUUAUUCCGUGGGAGGUUUGUCUGGAUACACAGAGACAGAUACCAUGGGCUGUCUACGACAAAUGGAUCGGCCUAGGCACCCCGAGAGCUAA